rnacentral:lncRNA from 1 species
UUUGGGGCUGGAUAAUUCUCUGUUGUUGGGAAGCUAUCAUUCUGAACACUGAAAGACUGUAGAAAAGACUCCUACAUAAUAGAUGUCCUGUGCACACUCUCUGAUAGCAAGAAGAAUUGGUUUUUGUUAUGGAUAAGUGAGACAAGUAACACCUAUUUUAGAUUUGAAAAUGAUAGGAUAAGACAGUGGAGGGAAGGGCUAGGUGAUGUUCAUUCAUUGACUGCAGAUAUGCUUUUGGGUAUUAUCUUCAUUUGAAGAUAAGUAGAUGCUUAGGAUUUGUGAUAAUGCAAGUUAUAGGAAAGGGGAUGGGAAGAAGAUAAAUUAAUGACUUCAAUCUUGCUAUCAGUGUGAAUUCAUCACCCUUGCUGGAUCCACACCUUUGGAGACACUGAAUUUCUACUCCUGAUAAGAACAAUACUGAAUUCCUUGCCCCUUGACUUGCUUUGGCGAGUAGAUAAGACAGAUGUGGCAGCCUGCUGGUUUCAAGGCUAAGCACUAAGAGGCCUUGCCUGGAGUCUGCUUGUUCUCUUGAGACUCUGCCAAGAAAGAGUUGCCUGGACUAACUCACGUUCUUGAGUGGAGGAUGAGUAAUAUGCAGAGGAUGGCCCAGCUAGAUCAUCUAGCCCCAAGCGACUUGGAGACGGGUGAACUAACCUAAUGCCCACUGUUUUAGUGUGAUAUGUCCCUGAAAUGUCAUGUUUUUCUUUUGUUCAUAUUGUUAUAUGUCAUAAAUUUUGAAUUUUGGAGAGAAAAAUGCAUUGAAGACCAUGGCUAGGAGAAUAGAAGCUGAAGCUUGAAUGUGAAUAGGAGAAUAGAAGCUGAAGCUUGAAUGUGAAUAGGAGACCCUGUUGGACAGUAUAAUCUGGAAGUGUUUACAUCUGUGCUUCUGAGGAAGAGUGGAGAAGAUGACAAAGAAAGCAAGCUACAGUACAGGAAAACAAAACAAAGCCAUGAUCUUUGGAACUGGAAAACCUGUGUUUAAAUGUCAUUUUUAUUUAUUACAAGCAAUGUGGCUUUGAGCAAGAGGUUGACAUUUCCUCUGCCUCAGUUUUCUCAUCUGCUAAAUGGCAGAAAGUAGGACCUAUGUUACAUAUUAUUUUGAGUAAAACGUGCACUUGUUGCAGUAGAUGUUAAUGUAGUAUAGCAGAGUGCUCAAUAGAUGUUAGAUGUUGUCUAAAAGAUUCAGUAUGUAUGAUGACUGAAAUACUGCUUGCAUCCUCUGGCUCAGACACUUGGUGAGGCUUUUUAAGUAUAAAAGGAUGCUUCUCAAGAGAAAAAAAUAGGCAGAAAAUGACUGGGGGAGGAAGGAGUAGAGGGAUGUUGUUUAAUGGGGACAGAAUCUCAUUUGGGGAAGAUGAAAAUAUCCUAAAGAUGGCACAACAAUGCGAAUGCAGUUACUGCCACUGGUUUGCACACAUAAAAAUGGUUAAAAAUGGUAGAUCUCCUGUUCUAAAUAUGGCACUAUUAAUAAGGGCUUCUCAACCUGUGGGUCUCCGCCUCCACAUAGGUCAAAUAUCAGAUAUGCUGGGUAUCAUGUAUUUGUAUUAUAAUUCAUAACAGGAGCACAUUACACUUGUAAAGUAACAACAAAAUACUUUUAUGGUUGGGGGUCACCACAACAUGAGGAACUGUAUUAAAGGGUCACAACAUUAGAAUGGUUGAGAACCAUUGUUCUAAUUAAAGAAACACAAAGGAAAAGACAAAGAAGACGAAUAAUUAAAUUAUGUAAAAUAGAACUCUUUGGAAAUAAAAAUACAAGACUGUUUCUCUACCAGUGAGUAUUGGGUCUGAGACAUACUUAUAACUGUUUUUAUUACUGAAUAUGUUAAGAAUAGAGGGAUGAGAGCAGUGCCUAGGAACAGAACUAGCCACAUUUCAUUGACAGGAAACCCUGAUGACUUAUAUGUACUUAACAACAGUCAACUUCAACAAGAAAGUUGUGAGUCACCAUUGGAGAUCUCAGGUUUGGCAUUGCAGAGAUUUCGUGGGGUCUUUGGAUUCCAUCCUAAGAUUUUAAUCUUCUUUUUGUUUGUUUGUUUGUUUCUUGAAAUAGCAAUGCCUUUUCACAGAGCAAUAAGGUCUUCAGAUAAAGCUCCAGGAAAUUCUAGAGAGUGCUUUAUGGAGAUUGUUUACUGUUCUGAAAAGGACAGAAUUCUUCCAUUACUAAUUUGUAUGAAUCACUUUGUAAUAAACAAGAUGGUUUUGUGCCCACGACAAUGACACAUUUGGUUCUUUUAAUACAAAAUAUAUUU